GGGGAAUCUUGCACAAUGGGGGAAACCCUGAUGCAGCGACGCCGCGUGAACGAUGAAGCCCUUCGGGGUGUAAAGUUCUUUCGACAGGAACGAUAAUGACGGUACCUGGAGAAGAAGCUGCGGCUAACUACGUGCCAGCAGCCGCGGUAAUACGUAGGCAGCAAACGUUGUUCGGAAUUAUUGGGCGUAAAGAGUGUGUAGGCGGUUUUGUAAGUUUGGUGUGAAAUCUCCCGGCUUAACUGGGAGGGUGCGCCGAAUACUGCAAGACUUGAGUACUGGAGAGGAUAGCGGAAUUCCUGGUGUAGCGGUGAAAUGCGUAGAUAUCAGGAGGAACACCGGCGGUGUAGACGGCUAUCUGGACAGUCACUGACGCUGAGACACGAAAGCGUGGGUAGCAAAC
rnacentral:rRNA from 1 species